rnacentral:rRNA from 1 species
GAUGAACGCUGGCGGCGUGCCUAAUACAUGCAAGUCGAGCGAACAGACGAGGAGCUUGCUCCUCUGACGUUAGCGGCGGACGGGUGAGUAACACGUGCAUAACCUACUUAUAAGACUGGGAUAACUUCGGGAAACCGGAGCUAAUACCGGAUAAUAUAUUCAACCGCAUGGUUCAAUAGUGAAAGACGGCUUUGCUGUUACUUAGAGAUGGUUCCGCGCCGCAUUAGCUAGUUGGUAAGGUAACGGCUAACCAAGGCGACGAUGCGUAGCCGACCUGAGAGGGUGAUCGGCCACACUGGAACUGAGACACGGUCCAGACUCCUACGGGAGGCAGCAGUGGGGAAUCUUCGACAAUGGGCGAAAGCCUGACGGAGCAACGCCGCGUGAGUGAUGAAGGUCUUCGGAUCGUAAAACUCUGUUAUUAGGGAAGAACAAAUGUGUAAGUAACUAUGCACGUCUUGACGGUACCUAAUCAGAAAGCCACGGCUAACUACGUG